AAAACAUAUCCAUACUGACAAGUGUACAAAUUAGAACACAAAAACAAACAAAACAUUAUAAAUGGAACAAAGUUAUUUCAGAAGAUCAGCAUUUAAUAACCAAUAAAAAGAUGGCCAACUGUUUGAAAUGCUGUUCAAAGAAUUCUGAAGUACAUGUCAAUGAGAAGUUUAGCAAAGAAAUUGAGACUGGUGCUGGGAGGGAGGAUGAUGGAAAUAAAUAAAAUAAUUAAAAAUCUCAGUGGAAACCAUAAAUAAUAGACCAAAUCAAGUACAAGACAGAACAGCAGGAAUUGAAGAAAAAUCUGUAUUCAGACACACAACAACACAAUAAGUAAACACAACCAAACCUUUUAGAACAUGAUCAAAAUGAAACUAAAGAAUACAUGGAGCAGAAGGAACUUAAAAGCACUGAGACUAAGUCAAUGAAAUAACAGCAGAAAUUUUCUAAAAUAUCGAGAAAGAAAUGAACAUCUAUACAGAAAGAUGUGUAAAACCCAAAUAAAUCAUGGACAGAAAGAAUUGCUCCUGAGCACAGUGUAGCUCAAAUCCUAACACUACAAAGAAAAUAAAAGUAUCAACAUACUAACAAAGGUAAAUUCACUGUAACAUCCAACCUCUCACUAGAAAUUUUUAAAGACAAAAAUCUUUUCAAUGAUUACUAUAUCCAAAGUUAUCUUUUAAAUGUAAUAUAAAAACUUUCCAAGGUAGGCAUAACAUAAGGCCACUUGUGACCACUAAACUACAGUAUACACUUAAAGGAAACUUACACAUAGCAGAAUGAUACAAACAGAGGAGCUCAAGGAAAAUGAAUUUUGUAAUUCUAUAUAUGAAAAAUUAAGAAAGAAGCAACUGUGUCUACAUAAGUUAAUGAAAGAAAAACAGAACAAUGAAAGAAACAACAAAAUAUAAAUGUUUUUAGCGUUCCAUUUAUGAGACAGAUUAGCCAAAUGAAUUAAAAGCAGGAUCAAAUUAUUUGUUGUCUAUAAGAAAUGUAUUUCACUUGAACAGAAGC
rnacentral:lncRNA from 1 species